UACGUAGGGGCCGAGCGUUGUCCGGAGUUAUUGGGCGUAAAGCGCGCGCAGGCGGCCUCGCGCGCCCGACGUGAAAGCCCCCCGGCUUAACCGGGGAGGGUCGUUGGGGACGGCGGGGCUUGAGGGCGGGAGAGGUCGGUGGGAAUUCCCGGUGUAGUGGUGAAAUGCGUAGAUAUCGAGAGGAACACCAGUGGCGAAGGCGAGUCCCUGGACAAACACCUGACACUGAGGCACGAAAGCUAGGGGAGCAAACAGG
rnacentral:rRNA from 1 species